UGAGCAAUCUGCCCUUCUCAUCGGAAUAAGCGUUGGAAACGACGUCUAAUGCCGAAUACGACCUCCUUUCGCAUGAUCGGAGGUGGAAAGCUCCGGCGGAGAAGGAUGAGCUCGCGGCCCAUCAGCUAGUUGGUGUGGGUAAUGGCCCACCAAGGCGACGACGGGUAGCCGGCCUGAGAGGGUGACCGGCCACACUGGGACUGAGACACGGCCCAGACCUCCUACGGGAGGNAGCG
rnacentral:rRNA from 1 species